AAUGCAUAUCAAUUAAGCGGAGGAAAAGAAACCAACAGGGAUUGCCCUAGUAACGGCGAGUGAAGCGGCAACAGCUCAAAUUUGAAAUCUGGCUCUUUACAGGGUCCGAGUUGUAAUUUGUAGAGGGUGCUUUGGAGUUGACUGUGGUCUAAGUUCCUUGGAACAGGACGUCGCAGAGGGUGAGAAUCCCGUAUGUGGCCGCCAGUCUUCUCCGUGUAAAGCCCCUUCGACGAGUCGAGUUGUUUGGGAAUGCAGCUCUAAAUGGGAGGUAAAUUUCUUCUAAAGCUAAAUAUUGGCCAGAGACCGAUAGCGCACAAGUAGAGUGAUCGAAAGAUGAAAAGCACUUUGGAAAGAGAGUCAAAAAGCACGUGAAAUUGUUGAAAGGGAAGCGCUUGCAGCCAGACUUGCCUGUAGUUGCUCAUCCGGGCUUUUGCCCGGUGCACUCUUCUAUAGGCAGGCCAGCAUCAGUCGCGGCGGUUGGAUAAUUGUCUGCACAAUGUACCUCUCUUCGGGGAGGACUUAUAGGGCAGGCGGCAUACAACCAGCUGCGAUUGAGGUCCGCGCAUCUGCUAGGAUGCUGGCGUAAUGGCUGUAAGCGGCCCGUCUUGAAACACGGACCAAGGAGUCUAACAUCUAUGCGAGUGUUUGGGUGUCAAGCCCGAGCGCGUAAUGAAAGUGAACGGAGGUGGGAACCCCUCGGGGUGCACCAUCGACCGAUCCUGAUGUCUUCGGAUGGAUUUGAGUAAGAGCAUAGCUGUUGGGACCCGAAAGAUGGUGAACUAUGCCUGAAUAGGGUGAAGCCAGAGGAAACUCUGGUGGAGGCUCGCAGCGGUUCUGACGUGCAAAUCGAUCGUCAAAUUUGGGGCAUAGGGGCGAAAGACUAAUCGAACUAUCUAGUAGCUGGUUCCUGCCCG
rnacentral:rRNA from 1 species